GUCGUUUAAUACUUAGCAAUUAACAGGGAUAGCGAUUAGCAAUUAGCAAUUAGCAAUUAGCAAUUAGCAUUCAGCAAUCAACAGUCGCCUUCCCACAAGCCUUUUUUUUUUUAGCGCCAUCAAAUUCAAUUGAAAACAAUUCUCCACCACCCUUUAACCUCCCUUCUCAUUCUCAAUACAUCUCGCCAUCUCGGUUUUCAAGCUUCUUCUUUUCCGGCAUCCCACAUGUCUCUCCGACCCCAAACGCCAAAAACCGUUUCGGUCUCAUUGCGAGGGGCUUCGGCUGCUCAAACCAACAAAAACGACCCUCACAACAACCAAAACGACACACCCAUCCCCACCCUCGUGUCCGAGUUGCGAGCCACCCUCACUCGCGAUUUUGACCGAGUCGAACGCGCCUUGCUCGAAAGGGAAUCACACCUCAUCGUGGCGAUUCAACAGAAGGAAAAGGAAAUCGCGUCCCUCAAAGUGAAAGACAGUAUCCAAAGCUCGGAUAAGUUGAACCCCGAAUCACAUCUCAGGGAGUUCAGAAAUGGAGGAGCAAAGGUCGUCGUUGAGGUUAAGAAAGAGGAGAAUGUCGGUUCUGAUUCGAGCAUUGCUGGAAAGUGCAUGCAUUGUUUGGAGAUGAAUGACGAAUUGGAGAAAGAAAAGGGUGUGAGUGAGUCUCUUAGGGAUAGGAACAUGCAGUUGGAGUUUGAAAAGUCUGAGCUCUUGGAAGAGAAGAAGAAAUGGGAUGAUCAGAGAGGGGUUGUUGAGGAUCUUAUGAAGAGGAUCAUUGAAUUGGAAGCUGAGAAGUGCGGAUUAUUGGAAGAGAAAAAGAAAUGGGAUGCUGACAAGAGUGGGGUUGAUGGAUUGAGGAAGGAGGAGGGCCAUGGCGCCCAUGAGGCGUAUAGGAAGAGGAAGUUCAUUGAAUUGUGUGAGAGGGUUUCGAGGUUGAAGAGAGAGACUGCUGAGGAUGGUAAAUUGAUAUCUUUGGAUGACAAUGGAGGUGCUGAUGGCGGUGAUGGGAGCAACACUGAAGAGAAUAAAACGGUUCAGAUUGAUGAUAUUGUUGAGAAAGAUGCUGUGGAAAGGAAUGAAAAUGUUGGUCAUUCUUAAGAGAUUCAACUAUACUGAUCAUACCAAGCAAAGAUGGUGUUGGUGUAACUGCUGCUUCAGAGAUAGAACCCGAUUUGCGAAGAGAUUACGAAGACACCUUGUACAGACUAGACAGGGUAGAGCACAUCGCAGGAAGGCUUGGGCAAUUGGUAUAGAACUUACAUUUUAUUUUAUUGUGUUUUAAGCUUUGCAACAUUUAAUCUAAUUGACUAUUCUUUUUUUGUUUUUAAGCCUGCCAGAGUCUUACGGACACGACGACGCAUACCCACGCGGCCGAGCGAGCUAGUCAGGCCACUCCUUAGACGAGCAGGUUUUGAACAUGUGGCCUUCAUCCUUCAGUUCGAGCAUGAUUAUGCGUUGGUCUCUGCAUUAGUUGAGAGAUGGCGACCUGAGACACCAACUUUCAUUUGCCAUGUGGGGAGAUGAGUAUCACUCUUCAAGACGUGGCUUAUCAGUUGGGGCUUCGGAUUAGUGGAGAUCCUGUUAGUGGUUGCAUGGCCGGCUGGGAGCUUUUUUAUGAAGGACGGAGCAUUGUUGACAUAUGUCAGCAGUUACUAGGAGCUGUACCAGGACCUGCUGAUAGACAGAAAUGGAACAUCAACUUGUCCUGGUUCAGAGAGACUGUGUGCGGGAAUUUGGAAGAGGACGCAACGCCUGAGCGACUUCUUCAGUACACCAGAGGGUAUAUUAUGCAACUUAUCGGGGGAUUCUUAUUUCCGGAUCAGUCCAACACCCGAGUUCACCUCAGGUGGCUGCCUCUUUUGGAAGACCUGGAUCAAUGUGGUCAGCUGAGUUGGGGUUCUGCUGUGCUUGCCUUUUUGUACCUCAUGUUGUGCCGGGGAACAUGUUACACGCAGCAUAACAUGGGUGGUUGCAUGAGCUUCUUGUUAUCGUGGGCUUACCAUCGUAUCCCCUCAUGUCGCCCCCAGGGAUUUGACCAGUGGAGGUUUCCGUUGGUUGAGAGGUAAUAAUGCGAUCUGUUUUUUUGUUUUUAUUAUUUGAACUUACGGUGUACGGAUGUAUAAUUCUUGAUGGCUCAUUACAUUGCAGGUGGGUUGGUUAUGAGCAGCGUAAUGACUCUGAAGAGUUUAGACUUCGGUGGUGGAGACGGCUUCUCAACAACCUUGAUAUUCAUAAUGUAUGUAUUCCUUGCAUUUGUCAUUUUGUAUACCAGUUGCCUUGUUAUUUACUGUGUUAUGUGGAUAUUGCGUAGGUUGAGUGGACCCCGUAUGCUGACCCUGAUAUCCAGCAUAUUCUGCCACCGAUUGUGUUUGAGGGUGAGGAGUCAUGGAAUGCCGUCUGUCCACUGUUGUGCUUUUCGAUUGUAGAGUGGCAUUAAGUGGAUCGUGUUGUGAGGCAACUGAGUGGUUUGCAGCACAUUCCUACACGUCCACUGAACAUUGAUGAGAUGCACGUGCACGAUGGACGAUUUGGUAGGAACGAGUGGUACCCUGACUACUUGAGUGGUUGGUACGACAUGUGGCGGGACAGGGGGCUAAGUCGGGUGCGUAUUUAUCACAGCAUUGACCUGCGUCCCUCGCAGAGGUACAUACAAUGGUACGUCGGGUGGGCACAUCUAGUCUUGGUUGGGCACGGUGACCAGCAGGAUCCUAUGGCUGGACCCAUACCACCUGAUCUGUCAGAUUACACACCCCAGGCUCCUGAGCUUCGACAACCAAAGGAUGGGGAUUUACCAGAGUUGCAUCCCGGAGGAGGGCGACGGCUUAGGAGAGUCGGAGGCAAUGCUAAACAGAGACACGAGGCUCACCCGAGAGAAUAGGAGCCUAGAGAUGAUGAUAUCGGGGUCUUGGGAUUCACAAGUGCUAUCCCUGAGGAUUACCUUACACUUGGACCACCAUGUCCAACACUGUCUUCACAGGCCGUUGUAGAUGGACUCGCCGAUCCAAGUCAUCAGAUGACCCACCUAUAUAGCAGUCAUGCUUGAGUCAGCCUACUCAUGAUUAGCCUGAUCCAUUCUAUUGUUGUGUGCCUCAAUUCUAGUCACCGGAUCUAGUAUCGGAAUUUGUGAAUCAAGGAUUUGGUAUUCAACCGGGACCUAUGAUGGAUCAGUUUUAGAUUAUGGUCGGAUUGUCGUUUUCAGGUGCAGCAGGACCAUCGCUUCCACAGGUAGAGCAUACCCCGUUGUCAUGUCUGGGGGUAUCCCGGCGUAUUAUGUUCAGGGAUUUGCACUGAUGCAUGCCUCUCCCCCACCCUCAAUUUAUGCCUCACGACAUGUGGAUGAUCCUUCGUCCUGAGAUACCUCCUCACUUGUGGGUCUUACGGAUUUCAUGAUACCAUAUUUUAAAGACUAGUGUUGAUGCACCACGCGGCAGAGGGCAGAGGGCAGAAGGAAGCUGCCUCGAGCCACCCCCUCCUAAAUGUGGUGGACUCGGAGCCAAGUAGUUGUUGUUAGUUAUUACGCCUAUUUAUUUAUGACUAGAUCUUUUUACGAGGCAUGUACACCUAAUAACACACUAUGGGUUUUUAAACAACAUCCAGCCUUAGCUGGGACUUGAAUCCGAGUGCAGCUUGCAAGAGGCAUAUGGAUAUGCCAUCUGACAUCUGUGCUGGGCCUCCGCUGCGGUUUGGUAGCUUAAGUACGGUGUUGUUAAAAGGAGUUUGGAGCUGUUGGGCCCUUGUUAUUGGGGAUUGAUUUUUUUGUACAAGGACAAAAUAAAAGUUGUGUCCAAUAUGUGUAAAUAAUUUUUUGUCAUUAAUAUAUUUAAGGAUACAAAAUUAGGUGGCUACUCCAAUGAAGAUUUAAUGAUUGUCAUCAUGUGAAGAUACAUCAUUUUGACCAUUGGAUAAUAGAUUGCAGGGCUUGAUUUUUAUUUAAAAUAAAAGUGUUACUUUUAUUUAAAGUGUUGUUAAAC